rnacentral:rRNA from 1 species
UACGUAGGGCGCAAGCGUUAUCCGGAAUUAUUGGGCGUAAAGAGCUCGUAGGCGGUUUGUCGCGUCUGCCGUGAAAGUCCGGGGCUCAACUCCGGAUCUGCGGUGGGUACGGGCAGACUAGAGUGAUGUAGGGGAGACUGGAAUUCCUGGUGUAGCGGUGGAAUGCGCAGAUAUCAGGAAGAACACCCGUGGCGAAGGCGGCUCUCUGGAACGCAACUGACGCUGAGACGCGAAAGCGUGGGGAGUAAACAGG